GAUGAACGCUGGCGGAGUGCCUAAUACAUGCAAGUCGAGCGAACAGACGAGGAGCGUGCUCCUGUCACGUGAGCGGCGGGCGGGUGAGUAACACGUGGAUAACCUACCUAUAAGACUGGGAUAACUACGGGAAACCGGAGCUAAUACCGGAUAAUAUAGUGAACCGCAGGGAUCAAUAGUGAAAGACGGUUUGGCUGGCACGUAUAGAGGGAUCCGCGUCGCAUUAGCUAGUUGGUAAGGUAACGGCCUACCAAGGCGACGAUGCGUAGCCGACCUGAGAGGAUGAUCGGCCACACUGGAACUGAGACACGGUCCAGACUCCUACGGGAGGCAGCAGUGGGGAAUCUUCCACAAUGGGCGCAAGCCUGAUGCAGCCACGCCGCGUGAGUGAUGAAGGUCUUCGGGUCGUAAAGCUCUGUUGUUAGGGACGAACAAAUGUGUACGAAACUAUGCCCGUAUUGACGGUACCUAAAGAGAAAGCCCCGGCUAACUACGUG
rnacentral:rRNA from 1 species